rnacentral:rRNA from 1 species
AACGAACGCUGGCGGCAUGCCUAACACAUGCAAGUCGAACGAGACCUUCGGGUCUAGUGGCGCACGGGUGCGUAACGCGUGGGAACCUGCCCUUAGGUUCGGAAUAACUCCCCGAAAGGGGUGCUAAUACCGGAUAAUGUCUUCGGACCAAAGAUUUAUCGCCUUUGGAUGGGCCCGCGUUGGAUUAGCUAGUUGGUAGGGUAAAAGCCUACCAAGGCGACGAUCCAUAGCUGGUCUGAGAGGACGAUCAGCCACACUGGGACUGAGACACGGCCCAGACUCCUACGGGAGGCAGCAGUGGGGAAUAUUGGACAAUGGGCGAAAGCCUGAUCCAGCAAUGCCGCGUGAGUGAUGAAGGCCUUAGGGUUGUAAAACUCUUUUACCCGGGAUGAUAAUGACAGUACCGGGAGAAUAAGCUCCGGCUAACUCCGUG